rnacentral:rRNA from 1 species
GGAUGCGAUCAUACCAGCACUAAAGCACCGGAUCCCAUCAGAACUCCGAAGUUAAGCGUGCCUGGGCGAGAGUAGUACUAGGAUGGGUGACCUCCUAGGAAGUCCUCGUGUUGCAUUCC